CCUCCGAUAGCUCAGUUGGUAGAGCGCAAGACUGUAAUUGGAAACCUACUGUCAUCUUGAGGCCGCUAGUUCGAUCCUGGCUCGGAGGA
rnacentral:tRNA from 1 species